rnacentral:rRNA from 1 species
AGAGUUUGAUCCUUGGCUCAGAUUGAACGCUGGCGGCAUGCCUAACACAUGCAAGUCGAACGGUAACGACGGGAGCUUGCUCCCGGGCGACGAGUGGCGGACGGGUGAGUAAUACUUAGGAAUCUGCCCAGUAGUGGGGGACAACUCGAGGAAACUCGAGCUAAUACCGCAUACGCCCUACGGGGGAAAGCGGAGGAUCUUUCGGGACUUCGCGCUAUUGGAUGAGCCUAAGUCGGAUUAGCUUGUUGGUGGGGUAAAGGCCUACCAAGGCAACGAUCUGUAGCUGGUCUGAGAGGACGAUCAGCCACACUGGGACUGAGACACGGCCCAGACUCCUACGGGAGGCAGCAGUGGGGAAUAUUGGACAAUGGGGGCAACCCUGAUCCAGCAAUGCCGCGUGUGUGAAGAAGGCCUGCGGGUUGUAAAGCACUUUCAGUAGAGAAGAAAUGCCCAUGGUUAAUACCCGUGGGUCUUGACGUAACCUACAGAAGAAGCACCGGCUAACUCCGUGCCAGCAGCCGCGGUAAUACGGAGGGUGCGAGCGUUAAUCGGAAUUACUGGGCGUAAAGCGCGCGUAGGCGGUUUGGUCAGUCGGAUGUGAAAGCCCUAGGCUCAACCUGGGAAUGGCAUUCGAUACUGCCUGACUAGAGUAUGGUAGAGGGAAGUGGAAUUUCCGGUGUAGCGGUGAAAUGCGUAGAU